AAUCAAGAUGGGGGAAAAAUGAAUCUUUUACCAACAGGAACCGAGGCUCUAGUUAGAUCUUGGUUCCACACACACUCAAAGAGCAAAAAAGUACAUGGCACUCAGAGGAAUUAGACAAUUACAUUGUCAGCUGUUGCAGGGAGCUGAUUUUUUAAAUUGGAAACAACCUCUUCUCAUUCCUCCCCUCCUCCCCCAACCACCAUGAUAGCAGUGCCGUAAGUGCCAGGGAAGGCUGAGUCAAAGGGGGCAUCUAUGUCCAUGGAAAUGUCCAUG